rnacentral:rRNA from 1 species
GAUGAACGCUAGCGGCAGGCUUAACACAUGCAAGUCGAGGGGUAGAAGCAGCUUGCUGCUUUGAGACCGGCGCACGGGUGCGUAACGCGUAUGCAAUCUACCUUUUACAGAGGGAUAGCCCAGAGAAAUUUGGAUUAAUACCUCAUAGUAUGUGAGAAUCGCAUGGUUUUCACAUUAAAGUUCCAACGGUAAAAGAUGAGCAUGCGUCCCAUUAGCUAGAUGGUAAGGUAACGGCUUACCAUGGCGACGAUGGGUAGGGGUCCUGAGAGGGAGAUCCCCCACACUGGUACUGAGACACGGACCAGACUCCUACGGGAGGCAGCAGUGAGGAAUAUUGGACAAUGGGCGCAAGCCUGAUCCAGCCAUGCCGCGUGCAGGAUGACGGUCCUAUGGAUUGUAAACUGCUUUUGUACAGAACGAAAAGGUCUACUAUUAAUACUAGGGGCUCAUGACGGUACUGUAAGAAUAAGCACCGGCUAAC